rnacentral:rRNA from 1 species
UAACGAUUAAAAGGUUUAGCGGGUUAUGGAUGGGGAUGCGUCUGAUUAGCUUGUUGGCGGGGUAACGGCCCACCAAGGCUACGAUCAGUAGGGGUUCUGAGAGGAAGGUCCCCCCACAUUGGAACUGAGACACGGUCCAAACUCCUACGGGAGGCAGCAGUGAGGAAUAUUGGUCAAUGGGGCGAGAGCCUGAACCAGCCAAGUAGCGUGCAGGAUGACGGCCCUAUGGUUGUAAACUGCUUUUAUGUGGGGAUAAAGUGCGUGACGUGUCAUGCAUUGCAGGUACCACAUGAAUAAGGACCGGCUAAUUCCGUGCCAGCAGCCGCGGUAAU